rnacentral:rRNA from 1 species
AGCGAUGAAGUUUCUUCGGAAAUGGAUUAGCGGCGAACGGGUGAGGAACACGUGAAGAAUCUGCCCUCCACUUUGGGAUAACACCGGGAAACCGGUGCUAAUACCGAAUAUUGAAACAUAAGUGGCAUCACUGAGUUUUGAAAGAAUUUCGGUGGAGGAUGACUUCGCGGCCUAUCAGCUAGUUGGUGAGGUAAUGGCUCACCAAGGCAACGACGGGUAGCCGGCCUGAGAGGGCGACCGGCCACACUGGGACUGAGACACGGCCCAGACUCCUACGGGAGGCAGCAGUGGGGAAUAUUGGGCAAUGGAGGAAACUCUGACCCAGCGACGCCGCGUGCGGGAUGAAGGCCUUCGGGUUGUAAACCUCUUUCAGUAGGGAAGAAGCGAAAGUGACGGUACCUGCAGAAGAAGCACCGGCUAACUAUGUGCC